UACAGGGGGGGCAAGCGUUGUUCGGAAUUACUGGGCGUAAAGGGCUUGUAGGUGGCCAACUAAGUCAGACGUGAAAUCCCUCGGCUUAACCGGGGAACUGCGUCUGAUACUGGAUGGCUUGAGUGUGGGAGAGGGAUGCGGAAUUCCAGGUGUAGCGGUGAAAUGCGUAGAUAUCUGGAGGAACACCGGUGGCGAAGGCGGCAUCCUGGACCAUUACUGACACUGAGAAGCGAAAGCCAGGGGAGCAAACGGG
rnacentral:rRNA from 1 species